rnacentral:rRNA from 1 species
GACGAACGCUGGCGGCGUGCCUAAUACAUGCAAGUUGAGCGCUGAAGGUUGGUACUUGUACCAACUGGAUGAGCAGCGAACGGGUGAGUAACGCGUGGGGAAUCUGCCUUUGAGCGGGGGACAACAUUUGGAAACGAAUGCUAAUACCGCAUAAAAACUUUAAACACAAGUUUUAAGUUUGAAAGAUGCAAUUGCAUCACUCAAAGAUGAUCCCGCGUUGUAUUAGCUAGUUGGUGAGGUAAAGGCUCACCAAGGCGAUGAUACAUAGCCGACCUGAGAGGGUGAUCGGCCACAAUGGGAAUGAGACACGGCCCAAAAUCCUACGGGAGGCAGCAGUAGGGAAGCGUCGGAAAUGGACGAAAGUAUGACCGAGCAACGCAGCGGGAGUGAAGAAGGUUUUCGGAUCGUAAAACUCUGUUGGUAGAGAAGAACGUUGGUGAGAGUGGAAAGCUCAUCAAGUGACGGUAACUAACCAGAAAGGGACGGCUAACUACGUG